CUCGGUGUCGUGGGAGUGUUGGGUUAAGUCCUGAAACGAGCGCAACCCCUGCUGCCCGUUGCCAACGGACCCUGCGGGGUGCCGGGGACUCAGGCGGGACUGCCGGCGAAUAGCCGGAGGAAGAGGGGAUGAUGUCAAGUCCUCAUGGCCCUUAUGUCCGGGGCUACACACAUGCUACAGUGCCCAGCACAAUGGGUCGCCAACCCGCAAGGGGGAGCCAAUCCCAUCAAAACUGGGCAUGGUUCGAAUUGCAGGCUGCAACCCGCCUGCAUGAAGCCGGAAUCGCUAGUAAUCGCGGGUCAGCCACACCGCGGUGAAUACGUACUCGGGGCUU
rnacentral:rRNA from 1 species